rnacentral:rRNA from 1 species
CCAGUGGCGAAGGCGGCUGUCUAGCUUGCAACUGACGCUGAGGCUCGAAAGCAUGGGUGGCGAACAGGAUUAGAUACCCUGGUAGUCAUGCCGUAAACGAUGAGUGCUAGGUGUUGGAGGGUUUCCACCCUUCAGUGCCGGAGCUAACGCAUUAAGCACUCCGCCUGGGGAGUACGACCGCAAGGCUGAAACUCAAAGGAAUUGACGGGGGCCCGCACAAGCGGUGGAGCAUGUGGUUUAAUUCGAAGCUACGCGAAGAACCUUACCAGGUCUUGACAUCUUGCGCCAACCUCAGAGAUGAGGCGUUCCCUUCGGGGACGCAAUGACAGGUGGUGCAUGGUCGUCGUCAGCUCGUGUCGUGAGAUGUUGGGUUAAGUCCCGCAACGAGCGCAACCCUUGUUACUAGUUGCCAGCAUUCAGUUGGGCACUCUAGUGAGACUGCCGGUGACAAACCGGAGGAAGGUGGGGACGACGUCAGAUCAUCAUGCCCCUUAUGACCUGGGCUACACACGUGCUACAAUGGACGGUACAACGAGCAGCGAACUCGCGAGGGUAAGCUAAUCUCUUAAAACCGUUCUCAGUUCGGACUGCAGUCUGCAACUCGACUGCACGAAGUCGGAAUCGCUAGUAAUCGCGGAUCAGCAUGCCGCGGUGAAUACGUUCCCGGGCCUUGUACACACCGCCCGUCACACCAUGGGAGUUUGCAAUGCCCAAAGCCGGUGGCCUAACCUUCGGGAAGGAGCCGUCUAAGGCAGGGCAGAUGACUGGGGUGAAGUCGUAACAAGGUAGCCGUAGGAGAACCUGCGGCUGGAACACCU